GACGAACGCUGGCGGCGUGCCUAAUACAUGCAAGUAGGACGCUGAAGGAGGAGCUUGCUUCUCUGGAUGAGUUGCGAACGGGUGAGUAACGCGUAGGUAACCUGCCUGGUAGCGGGGGAUAACUAUUGGAAACGAUAGCUAAUACCGCAUAAUAGUAGAUGUUGCAUGACAUUUGCUUAAAAGGUGCAAUUGCAUCACUACCAGAUGGACCUGCGUUGUAUUAGCUAGUUGGUGGGGUAACGGCUCACCAAGGCGACGAUACAUAGCCGACCUGAGAGGGUGAUCGGCCACACUGGGACUGAGACACGGCCCAGACUUCUACGGGAGGCAGCAGUAGGGAAUCUUCGGCAAUGGACGGAAGUCUGACCGAGCAACGCCGCGUGAGUGAAGAAGGUUUUCGGAUCGUAAAGCUCUGUUGUAAGAGAAGAACGAGUGUGAGAGUGGAAAGUUCACACUGUGACGGUAUCUUACCAGAAAGGGACGGCUAACUACGUG
rnacentral:rRNA from 1 species